rnacentral:tRNA from 1 species
GGAACGAUGGCUGAGUGGUCUAAAGCAGAAGUUUACUAAACUUCCGAUGGUUUAAUAUCAUCCGUAGGUUCGAAUCCUACUCGUUCCA